rnacentral:snRNA from 1 species
UUUGCUUUUCUUCAGUUGUUGAAUAAAUCUUUCGCCUUUUACUAAAUAUUUCCGUGGAGAGGAGCACUCUAAUAAGCUUUUGUGUGGAUUUUCUGACAAACCCA